ACUCCUACGGGAGGCAGCAGUGGGGAAUAUUGCACAAUGGGGGAAACCCUGAUGCAGCCAUGCCGCGUGUGUGAAGAAGGCCUUCGGGUUGUAAAGCACUUUCAGUAGGGAGGAAAGGGUGUAGUUUAAUACGCUAUAUCUGUGACGUUACCUACAGAAGAAGGACCGGCUAACUCCGUGCCAGCAGCCGCGGUAAUACA
rnacentral:rRNA from 1 species